UGCUUGGUGGGGCAGCCAUACCCGCAAGAGCACUGUCACUCACAGUUAAACAUAAAAUGCUUCUUGUCAUCUAUACUUGGGGACGCUGGGAAUCAGAAAGCAGAUUGUUGUCAGAGAUGGACUUGGAGUACUCCUGAGCGAGACGCCUGCUGCCCAUUUGGAGGCUGCAAAUCUCUGCCGGACUCUGCUCCCUACAGUGUGGAUGGUGAGUCGCGGUAUCCGGCAGGAGGACUGGUGUGACGUACUUAAGGCUUUUCAGCUCACAGGGAAAUUCAGGGAGACUUCCGGAAGCUUUCUCUGUUGGUUCCAAGUUCCGGCCUCUGCCUUGUAUUGUGAAAAAGAAGAAAUCAGUAGAAGGAGGGUCAGAUUGGAGGGGGUUCUCUGGCCUCUGCUGCAGCCACCGCCCCACAUUCAUCCUAACAACCUUGGGCAGAAAACCAGAAAAAUACAAUUACCAGAAAAGGUAAAGUCUCUCAUGUGGGGUGGGGGAAACAAUUAGGAGAUGGUAGGAAACUGAUGAGAGUAAUUCAAUUUACAACAAAAAAAAAAAAUGUUAGUUAUGGUUCCCUAGUGUGGCCCAUAUAGCUAUUACAGCCGUGUUUGCUCUACCAAGGAGGAAACCACAUGGGUGUGUGGCACAUUGGCACAGAAGGGUUUUUCUUUUAGCACCAACUUCCUGCAACGUCCGGCUUAGGGCAUUUGCUCAGGGAUUUUUAUAUCAUUUGGAAAUAAGAAUUAGCAAUGUUUUUAUGCUCAGGAUAAAGCUGAAGAGACCAAACGUGUCAGGGAGCAAUGUGUCAAAGUUUCCUGAAAAUGUUUAAAAUUAUUAUUAUUUUACAUGUUUUAUUAUUAAUGCGUUUUUUGUUUGCACAUUGUGGAUUGUGACCCUUUCACAGAUAAAAAAAAACAAUUUGGUCUGUAAUAGUUUUCAACUAAAGCCAUCUAAAAUUUAUAUUUUUUUAUAUUGACAUAUUUUAUAGCUGAACCACAAUAGACUUUUCUAAAUGACAUUUGCUGUGUUUUGGCAGAUUUCCCUUCUUUCACUUUUUCCUUCUUUUUUUCCGUUGAAAACUGCAGUGAGACAGUAUUUGGAUAGAGUGUAUAGUAAGGAACAUUGGGGGCGUUACUGUUUAUUGCAUGGGGCUGCUAUACAUGUGGGUACAUACAGCAGGUCUCUUACAGAUACAGGUCUGCGAUUUUGGAGAGAUUAUUUAAGGGUGACUGCACACG